UACGGAGGGGGCCAGCGUUGUUCGGAAUCAUUGGGCGUAAAGGGCGCGUAGGCGGCCGAUCAAGUCGAACGUGAAAUCUCCCGGCUCAACCGGGAACCUGCGUCCGAUACUGCUCGGCUCGAGUCCCGGAGAGGGUAGUGGAAUUCCCAGUGUAGCGGUGAAAUGCGUAGAUACUGGGAGGAACACCGGUGGCGAAGGCGGCUACCUGGACGGGUACUGACGCUGAGGCGCGAGAGCUGGGGGAGCAAAC
rnacentral:rRNA from 1 species